rnacentral:sRNA from 1 species
AUUUGGUAACUACCAUGAAUAUAAGAGGGAAUUCAACAUGCUUGCCUUGAAAUUAUUAUUGGCUUCUUAUUCAUGCAGGCUCUGCAUUAGCUGCUAAUGUAUGUAAAAAGAUUACUGGACGUCUUACAAGUGCAAUAGCAAAACAGGAAGAUGUCUCUGUUCAGCUAGAAGCCUUGGAUAUUAUGGCUGAUAUGUUGAGCAGGCAAGGAGGACUUCUUGUUAAUUUCCAUCCUUCAAUUCUGACCUGUCUACUUCCCCAGUUGACCAGCCCUAGACUUGCAGUGAGGAAAAGAACCAUUAUCGCUCUUGGCCAUCUGGUUAUGAGCUGUGGAAAUAUAGUUUUUGUAGAUCUUAUUGAACAUCUGUUGUCAGAGUUGUCCAAAAAUGAUUCUAUGUCAACAACAAGAACCUACAUACAAUGUAUUGCUGCUAUUAGUAGGCAAGCUGGUCAUAGAAUAGGUGAAUACCUUGAGAAGAUAAUUCCUUUGGUGGUAAAAUUUUGCAAUGUAGAUGAUGAUGAAUUAAGAGAGUACUGUAUUCAAGCCUUUGAAUCAUUUGUA